UGGGGAAUUUUGGACAAUGGGCGAAAGCCUGAUCCAGCAAUGCCGCGUGUGUGAAGAAGGCCUUCGGGUUGUAAAGCACUUUUGUCCGGAAAGAAAUCCUUGGCUCUAAUACAGUCGGGGGAUGACGGUACCGGAAGAAUAAGCACCGGCUAACUACGUGCCAGCAGCCGCGGUAAUACGUAGGGUGCAAGCGUUAAUCGGAAUUACUGGGCGUAAAGCGUGCGCAGGCGGUUUGCUAAGACCGAUGUGAAAUCCCCGGGCUCAACCUGGGAACUGCAUUGGUGACUGGCAGGCUAGAGUAUGGCAGAGGGGGGUAGAAUUCCACGUGUAGCAGUGAAAUGCGUAGAGAUGUGGAGGAAUACCGAUGGCGAAGGCAGCCCCCUGGGCCAAUACUGACGCUCAUGCACGAAAGCGUGGGGAGCAAACAGGAUUAGAUACCCUGGUAGUCCACGCCCUAAAACGAUGUCAACUAGUUGUUGGGGAUUCAUUUCCUUAGUAACGUAGCUAACGCGUGAAGUUGACCGCCUGGGGAGUACGGUCGCAAGAUUAAAACUCAAAUGAAUUGACGGGGUCAUA
rnacentral:rRNA from 1 species